UACGGGGGGGGGCAAGCGUUUGUUCGGAAUUACUGGGCGUAAAGGGCUCGUAGGCGGCCAACUAAGUCAUACGUGAAAUCCCUCGGCUUAACCGGGGAACUGCGUCUGAUACUGGAUGGCUUGAGUUCGGGAGAGGGAUGCGGAAUUCCAGGUGUAGCGGUGAAAUGCGUAGAUAUCUGGAGGAACACCGGUGGCGAAGGCGGCAUCCUGGACCGAUACUGACGCUGAGGAGCGAAAGCGUGGGGGAGCGAACAGG
rnacentral:rRNA from 1 species